rnacentral:rRNA from 1 species
UAGCUAGUUGGUGAGGUAAAGGCUCACCAAGGCGACGAUCUGUAGCGGGUCUGAGAGGAUGAUCCGCCACACUGGAACUGAGACACGGUCCAGACUCCUACGGGAGGCAGCAGUGGGGAAUUUUGGACAAUGGGGGCAACCCUGAUCCAGCCAUGCCGCGUGAGUGAAGAAGGCCUUCGGGUUGUAAAGCUCUUUCGGCCGGGAAGAAAUCGUAUGGGUUAAUACCCUGUGCGGAUGACGGUACCGGCAUAAGAAGCACCGGCUAACUACGUGCCAGCAGCCGCGGUAAUACGUAGGGUGCGAGCGUUAAUCGGAAUUACUGGGCGUAAAGCGUGCGCAGGCGGUUUUGUAAGACAGGCGUGAAAUCCCCGGGCUCAACCUGGGAACUGCGCUUGUGACUGCAAGGCUAGAGUAUGGCAGAGGGGGGUGGAAUUCCACGUGUAGCAGUGAAAUGCGUAGAGAUGUGGAGGAACACCAAUGACGAAGGCAGCCCCCUGGGCCAAUACUGACGCUCAUGCACGAAAGCGUGGGUAGCAAACAGGAUUAGAUACCCUGGUAGUCCACGCCCUAAACGAUGUCAACUAGGUGUUGGGUGGGUAAAACCAUUUAGUACCGGAGCUAACGCGUGAAGUUGACCGCCUGGGGAGUACGGCCGCAAGGUUAAAACUCAAAGGAAUUGACGGGGACCCGCACAAGCGGUGGAUGAUGUGGAUUAAUUCGAUGCAACGCGAAAAACCUUACCUACCCUUGACAUGUCCAGGAGCAUGAAGAGAUUUGGGUGUGCCCGAAAGGGAACUGGAACACAGGUGCUGCAUGGCUGUCGUCAGCUCGUGUCGUGAGAUGUUGGGUUAAGUCCCGCAACGAGCGCAACCCUUGUCGUUAAUUGCCAUCAUUUAGUUGGGCACUUUAACGAGACUGCCGGUGACAAACCGGAGGAAGGUGGGGAUGACGUCAAGUCCUCAUGGCCCUUAUGGGUAGGGCUUCACACGUCAUACAAUGGUCGGUACAAAGGGUUGCCAACCCGCGAGGGGGAGCCAAUCCCAGAAAGCCGAUCGUAGUCCGGAUCGCAGGCUGCAACUCGCCUGCGUGAAGUCGGAAUCGCUAGUAAUCGUGGAUCAGCAUGUCACGGUGAAUACGUUCCCGGGUCUUGUACACACCGCCCGUCACACCAUGGGAGCGGGUUCCGCCAGAAGUAGGUAGCCUAACCGCAAGGGGGGCGCUUACCACGGCGG